rnacentral:pre_miRNA from 1 species
GAUUUUAACUGAAAAAGUCAUCAAUAACAAAGUGGUAUAACUCAUUAAGAUCUAUAACUUUUAUUUGGGUCAUUUUAUCAUCCGACAAAGUGAUUUAUAACAUUGUUCAUAAAAUGUACAUUUCUCUUAUAUAGUUUAUAAACUAUAAGAGAGAUAUGUAAAUUUUGUGAACAAUGUUAAUAUUAAUUUAUCGGAUGAAGAAAUGACCAAAAUAAAAGUUAUAGAUAUUGAUUAGUUAUACAACUUUGUUGUUUAUGAUUUUUUCAGUUGAAGUC